AUGAUAGCUUGCUAUCAGGCGUCGAGCGGCGGACGGGUGAGUAAUACUUAGGAAUCUACCUAGUAGUGGGGGAUAGCACGGGGAAACUCGUAUUAAUACCGCAUACGACCUACGGGAGAAAGGGGGCAGUUUACUGCUCUCGCUAUUAGAUGAGCCUAAGUCGGAUUAGCUAGAUGGUGGGGUAAAGGCCUACCAUGGCGACGAUCUGUAGCUGGUCUGAGAGGAUGAUCAGCCACACCGGGACUGAGACACGGCCCGGACUCCUACGGGAGGCAGCAGUGGGGAAUAUUGGACAAUGGGGGAAACCCUGAUCCAGCCAUGCCGCGUGUGUGAAGAAGGCCUUUUGGUUGUAAAGCACUUUAAGCAGUGAAGAAGACUCCGUGGUUAAUACCCACGGACGAUGACAUUAGCUGCAGAAUAAGCACCGGCUAACUCUGUGCCAGCAGCCGCGGUAAUACAGAGGGUGCAAGCGUUAAUCGGAAUUACUGGGCGUAAAGGGAGCGUAGGUGGCUCGAUAAGUCAGAUGUGAAAUCCCCGGGCUCAACCUGGGAACUGCAUCUGAUACUGUUGAGCUAGAGUAUGUGAGAGGAAGGUAGAAUUCCAGGUGUAGCGGUGAAAUGCGUAGAGAUCUGGAGGAAUACCGAUGGCGAAGGCAGCCUUCUGGCAUAAUACUGACACUGAGGCUCGAAAGCGUGGGUAGCAAACAGGAUUAGAUACCCUGGUAGUCCACGCCGUAAACGAUGUCUACUAGUCGUUGGGUCCCUUGAGGACUUAGUGACGCAGCUAACGCAAUAAGUAGACCGCCUGGGGAGUACGGCCGCAAGGUUAAAACUC
rnacentral:rRNA from 1 species